UUAAUUGAAACCAAAAAGAGGUAAAUUAUUGUUAAUAAUUUUAAUGAAUUAAUAUUCCAAUUAAA
rnacentral:tRNA from 1 species